rnacentral:pre_miRNA from 1 species
UCUCAUGGAUGAGCAAAGAAAUUGAUUUCUUGAGGUGGAACCCACUCCUGGUGAAGAUGCUGUGAA